rnacentral:rRNA from 1 species
UACGUAGGGCGCAAGCGUUAAUCGGAAUUACUGGGCGUAAAGCGUGCGCAGGAGGUUGUGCAAGACAGAUGUGAAAUCCCCGGGCUCAACCUGGGAAUUGCAUUUGUGACUGCACGGCUAGAGUGUGUCAGAGGGGGGUAGAAUUCCACGUGUAGCAGUGAAAUGCGUAGAGAUGUGGAGGAAUACCGAUGGCGAAGGCAGCCCCCUGGGAUAACACUGACGCUCAUGCACGAAAGCGUGGGGAGCAAACAGG